CCGCUCUGCACGUCCCUGGUGGUUCGUUGUCAUACAACACAAAUGGCACCAUUGCCACGCUGACCUGUCAUUCCGGAUUAACUUCAAACAUAACCGUAUUCUUUUGCAUGAAUGGACAAUGGUCGCAACAAUCAGCAAUAUGCCGUCCAUAUCCACCGCUUAACGUUACGGGUAUACGCCUUGUUGAUGGACCAGAUCUUAACGUAGGUCGAGUGGAAAUUGCUGUAGACGGAUUAUAUGGAACCAUUUGCGAUAGUUAUUUCAACUUGUCCGAUGCUGAGGUUUUAUGUAAACAAAUCAAUUCCAGUUAUAGAGCAGCAGUGUUUUUCACUGGCGCCAGAUAUGGUGAAGGCUCAGGUCCCGUGCACGUUGAUCAACUUCAUUGUAAUGGCAAUGAAACCUCUCUC